GGAGCUGCAGCAGUUAUUUCUGUACAAACGUCCACUGUAUAUUCACUAGAUAUUCUCAGAGCUAAACUAACUCUCCUGCAGUGUGGAAUGUGCGCACAUGCACGUGAGAGGUGGAGCGAGAGAGCAAGUGAGAACGAGUGCGGUGUGUGAGAGAAGGCAG